UUUAUUCCUACUUGAAACUUCAUGUUUAGUCGUUUACUCGUUUACGCACACUGUUGACAAGCCAAGACGCCAAGAGUGCAAGUAGCUCAAGCCAAGCAAGGUCGAAGCCAGGUUGACCACGUGACCGUAUGUCAACGGACCGUCAAGGCCUGUUUCAUCGGACCGCCAGGCCUGUUUCAUCGGACCGCCAGGACUGCUCUGCCGAUCUCUCGGCGUGGAGGAAACGUAAACAAAGGAAAUGUACUCUCUUGUCCAUUUUUUGGCGGAAAAUGAUGUCGCAGUUGUCCCUACCUGUUGGGUGUGCAAUGGCUGCACGGCAUGGCCACCCUACAAAUCAAAUCUGUUGAUGAUGGCAAUUAGAGAGCGUGAAGAGCCCUCGACUGACUGGGCCACAUUCUCCUGUCAGGUGAUGGCAUCAUGUUUGACACAUGAAGAUGCAAAGUACAAAGAAAAAAAAUUCGGAAGCGACGUCCGACUUAACAUUGAAUAAUGAAGAGCGGGAGAAGAGAAAAAGGAAGAGACUGCAGCAUACUCUUUCUUCAUUUGAGGAUGAGGACUUCUAUGACCAAGAUGAACGACGUAACACUCAGCCAGCCCCUCAACUUCCAGAACGUGCACCAGAGCCCAAGCAAAAACGCACACGUGAGCUGUGCGCACCUGCUUUAAACAGAAGGCAGAAAACAUGAGCCAGCCAUCAUCGUGCAGGAAGCCGACGCCAAAUGGGCUGCUGCUGAAUCGGUCAGGCAUGCACCAGCUAGGACCAAGAAAAUG